UAAAACUCCAGAGCUGGCAGAAGUAAGUUGGCACGUCCACUCCCAGCCAGACCGCCUUUGUUCGCCGGUGCCAGCCGCUGCAGCAUCCAGGGGAGCACAGAACCCCGGCCAGGCAGAAGCAAUAAAUCACCUAGGUUAAGAAGACCCAGCUAGCCCAACGUAGAUCGAUUUCAUGGAUGCUUUCUUGCACUUACCAGUGAAAGAGCUGAGAACUGACCAUCUUCUGAGAGUACCUUUUGGCUUCAGGAAAGAGAGUGAUAUAAGAGCAGUGGUACAUGAAAGAGAAACUCAAAGUUCAACUAAAGGAGAAAACUGAAAAAAACACUCUUGUAUUAAUCAGACAAGACAUAAGUAAUUGGAAGAAGAGCUUGCACGGUGGACCACAACAUAGCAUAGAGAUGAUUCAUGGACUGGAGACUUUCUGCACAUGCAGGGUCCAAGGUCUCUGAAAUUCAUCCAGCUUCACAGACCUGCUUCCUACCUGUGCUCAUAUCGGGAAAGAUGCCAAAACAGCUGGGAGAUGAAUUAUCUAUUUAUUUAUUCAAUACAAAUGCUUUCUUCUUUGACCUGGUGAAAUCUGACAUAUUUUGCUUGGUUCUUAUGAAAAUCAUUGUGAAUCUUUCUGCCUCAAUUAUUUCUCCUCACAGAAGGACUGGAGAUCAGCCCUGUGAUUUGAUUACUUGCAG